GUAGUCCACGCCCUAAACGAUGUCGACUGGUUGUUGGGGAAGGAAACUUCCUUAGUAACGAAGCUAACGCGUGAAGUCGACCGCCUGGGGAGUACGGCCGCAAGGUUAAAACUCAAAGGAAUUGACGGGGACCCGCACAAGCGGUGGAUUAUGUGGAUUAAUUCGAUGCAACGCGAAAAACCUUACCUACCCUUGACAUGGCAGGAAUCCCGAUGAGAGUCGGGAGUGCCCGAAAGGGAGCCUGCACACAGGUGCUGCAUGGCUGUCGUCAGCUCGUGUCGUGAGAUGUUGGGUUAAGUCCCGCAACGAGCGCAACCCUUGCCAUUAAUUGCCAGCAAUUCGGUUGGGCACUUUAAUGGGACUGCCGGUGACAAACCGGA
rnacentral:rRNA from 1 species